UACAUGCUUGGAAUUAAUUAAAAUGUAAAAACAUGGCAGACAUAAAUGAACAUGAACCACUUAAUUCGCGUGUCUUCAUUAACCGUAAGCAAUAUUUUGGCAAACUAGAGAACGAUGUUUUGAGUUGGUGUCGCUGUCGAACACAUGGAAUAAACUCUGAACAAAGUCACAGCUUAAAUAUAAAGCGAGUUAUCACAAUCAAGCCAUGUGAAUCAAUGUACGAAUCGCAACAGAAAGACAUAGAAAUGAAUAUCCUCAAUGAAGAAAAUAAAAUAACCUCUUUCUGUUUGCAUGUUGUUGCUAAGAAAGAUAAUCUGAAGUGGCAUCAUCGAAAAGCUGUGUUUACUUUCCCUUCUGCUGUAGAAGGAACUAAAUGGUUUAAGAGGAUUGAAGAUUUAUUGAAAGGGUACAACAGACCUAAAAAACUUUUAGUCUUUGUCAAUCCAUACGGAGGACGUCGACAGGCACCUAGAAUUUUCCAAAACAAAGUCAGACCAUUGUUCAACUUAGCUGAAAUAGAAUAUGAUUUCAUUGAAACAGAAAGAGCAAACCAUGCAAAAGAUCACAUUAUGAAUGAAGACACAGAUUUGAAUCAAUAUGACGGGAUCAUUUCCAUUGGUGGUGAUGGAAUGUUUAGUGAAAUUUUAAAUGGUAUUUUGAUGCGUCAUAAUCCGGCUGUGUUUCCUUCAAGUCAUUUUAUGCCAAAGAAAAGCCCCAUUAAGCUGGGGAUUAUACCAGCUGGAUCCACAGAUUGUGUCUGCUUCUGCACAACUGGAACAAUUGAUGUAAUCACAUCGACUUUACAAAUAAUUACAAAUGAAAGUCAACCAUUGGAUAUUUCAUCUCUACACAACACAAAAGGUGAAUUAUUACGUUACUCGAUGUCGUUUGCUGGGUAUGGUUUCUUUGGUGAUGUUGUAAAGGACAGCGAGAGCUUAAGAUGGGUUGGUGUAAAACGUUAUGACAUUUCUGGCGCGAAAAUGUUCAUGAGAAAUAGAUCUUAUGAAGGAGAGUUGUGUUAUUUGACGAGUUCGGAUACUGUCGGCAACCCCCGUGAUAACAUGAAAUGUAGGAAAGGAUGCACUGUUUGUUUUCCAUCCUCAAGUACUACACAUGGGGAUAUUUUAACAGCCCAGAGCAACGGUUGGCACAGCAUUACCGGCCAUUUUAUAAGCAUCAUGGGGGCUACAAACUGUUGUGCCAAUAAGAAAUCACCAGAAGGAAUUUCACCCAGCGCUCACCUGGCCGAUGGAUGUAUCGAUCUUAUUAUUGUACGUCGUACAUCACGUGUUCGUUACCUGCAACAUAUGAUGCGAUUGGCCGGAAAAGCUGAUCACAUGGACUUUGAUUUUGUCGAAGUACAUCGCGUAAAGGAAUUUUCGUUUCGUCCCCUACCAGUAAUGGCUGGUGACAAGGCUAUAGAGAGUGACAUCGCACAAUCCAACUCUAUGCAACACAGUGUGUGGAAUGUCGAUGGGGAGAUCAUUGAUGAACCAGCGAUUCACAUAAGAGUCCAUCGCAAGUUAGUUAAACUUUUUGCCAGUGGCAUAGAAUAUCGUGACACGAAAUGCAAGUGGUUUGGUUGCAAAUAAAUUUUAAAUCCGAUAUCCUACAAGACUACAAUAGUUAUUGGUGGGUGAGAAAGUUCCUUGCCAUUCAGAAAGAAACGAUUACCAAGAAAGUUGAUGAACAUAAUGCAAGAAAGAAAGAACAUAUCCAUUUUAAUAACUAGUAGGCAUUAAAAAGUAACAUUAAAAUGUCCAAUUAUGUCCAUGCUCAAUAUUUCAAGUGUUAUUGUUGUUGUUUUUGUGUCAAGUUUGGUUGGUACACUACUCUUUUUCAAUAAAGCUUGGUGUAUUUUGGUUAUCA